rnacentral:rRNA from 1 species
CCUACGGGAGGCAGCAGUGGGGAAUUUUGGACAAUGGGCGAAAGCCUGAUCCAGCAAUGCCGCGUGAGUGAAGAAGGCCUUCGGGUUGUAAAGCUCUUUUGUCAGGGAAGAAACGGUGCGGGCUAAUAUCCUGCACUAAUGACGGUACCUGAAGAAUAAGCACCGGCUAACUACGUGCCAGCAGCCGCGGUAAUACGUAGGGUGCAAGCGUUAAUCGGAAUUACUGGGCGUAAAGCGUGCGCAGGCGGUUUUGUAAGUCUGUCGUGAAAUCCCCGGGCUCAACCUGGGAAUUGCGAUGGAGACUGCAAGGCUAGAAUCUGGCAGAGGGGGGUAGAAUUCCACGUGUAGCAGUGAAAUGCGUAGAGAUGUGGAGGAACACCGAUGGCGAAGGCAGCCCCCUGGGUCAAGAUUGACGCUCAUGCACGAAAGCGUGGGGAGCAAACAGGAUUAGAUACCCUGGUAGUCCACGCCCUAAACGAUGUCUACUAGUUGUCGGGUUUUAAUUAACUUGGUAACGCAGCUAACGCGUGAAGUAGACCGCCUGGGGAGUACGGUCGCAAGNUUAAAACNCAAAGGAUUGACGG